GGAAUUUUGGACAAUGGGCGCAAGCCUGCUCCAGCCAUUCCGCGUGAGUGAAGAAGGCCUUCGGGUUGUAAAGCUCUUUCGCAAGGGAAGAAACGUUACGAGCGAAUAACUCGUGAUAAUGACGGUACCUUGAUAAGAAGCACCGGCGACCUAAGUGCCAGCAGCCGCGGAAAUACGUAGGGUGCGACCGUUAAUCGGAAUUACUGGGCGUAAAGCGUGCGCAGGCGGUUUUGUAAGUCAGAUGUGAAAUCCCCGGGCUCAACCUGGGAACUGCGUUUGAAACUACAAGGCUAGAGUGUAGCAGAGGGGGGUAGAAUUCCACGUGUAGCAGUGAAAUGCGUAGAGGUGUGGAGGAAUACCAAUGGCGAAGGCAGCCCCCUGGGUUAACACUGACGCUCAUGCACGAAAGCGUGGGGAGCAAAC
rnacentral:rRNA from 1 species